rnacentral:rRNA from 1 species
CCAAUAGCGUAUAUUAAAGUUGUUGCAGUUAAAAAGCUCGUAGUUGGACUUCGGGGUCUACCCAUUGGUCAGGCUUAAUUGUCUGCACUGGUGAGAUGGAUCUCUACCUUCUGAGGAACUUUCAUGCCAUUUAUUUGGUGUGAUGGGAAAUCAGGACUGUUACUUUGAAAAAAUUAGAGUGUUUAAAGCAGACUAUCGUCUGAAUACAUUAGCAUGGAAUAAUGAAAUAGGACGGACUGAUUCUAUUUCGUUGGUUUCUAGGAUCACCGUAAUGAUUAAUAGGGAUAGUUGGGGGCAUUAGUAUUCAAUUGUCAGAGGUGAAAUUCUUGGAUUUAUUGAAGACUAACUACUGCGAAAGCAUUUGCCAAGGAUGUUUUCAUUAAUCAAGAACGAAAGUUAGGGGAUCGAAGACGAUCAGAUACCGUCGUAGUCUUAACCAUAAACUAUGCCGACUAGGGAUCGGACGAAGUUAAUUUUAUAAUGACGCGUUCGGCACCUUACG